CCAACAUAAACAACAGAAGGAAGGCCGGCACUGCAGGCACCCAGAUACCUUCCUUCUUUCAAGUUAAAAGGAAUGCCUUCAAGGGGAAAAAAGUGUGAAUUGAACAUACACAAGGAUAUGACAAAUCUCUACUGCUAUGUUGAUCAGUGACAGGCUCACUCUUUAAUAAAACGUCCUAGUUGGCAUGUGGAUCCCAGGGAAAGAGCUUCAAAACUGCCUCUGGGGCAGAAGAGGAGCCUUCCUCUAUGCAGUGUCCAAGAAAGAAGUUCCAAGCAUGAUUUCAAACCUUGAAAUUCUCAAACCUGUAGACU